rnacentral:pre_miRNA from 1 species
UGUGGUUUGCCGUUGUCUGUGCGUUGUUACUUCGCAUGCGCAUCCGUAAACCAGCAAC